UUAAAGGAAUUGACGGGGCCGCACAAGCGGUGGAGCAUGUGGUUAAUUCGAAGCAACGCGAAGAACCUUACCAGGUCUUGACAUCCGAUGCUAUUUCUAGAGAUAGAAAGUUACUUCGGUACAUCGGUGACAGGUGGUGCAUGGUUGUCGUCAGCUCGUGUCGUGAGAUGUUGGGUUAAGUCCCGCAACGAGCGCAACCCUUAUCUUUAAUUGCCAGCAUUCAGUUGGGCACUUUAAAGAGACUGCCGGUGUUAAACCGGAGGAAGGUGGGGUGACGUCAAGUCCUCAUGGCCUCUAUGCUUAGGGCUACACACGUGCUACAAUGGGUGGUACAAAGAGAAGCCAACUCGCGAGAGCGCGCCAAUCUCAAAAAGCCAUCCUCAGUUCGGAUUGGAGUCUGCAACUCGACUCCAUGAAGUUGGAAUCGCUAGUAAUCGCGGAUCAGCAUGCCGCGGUGAAUACGUUCCCGGGCCUU
rnacentral:rRNA from 1 species